AGAGUUUGAUCAUGGCUCAGGACGAACGCUGGCGGCGCGCCUAACACAUGCAAGUCGAACGGAGUUAUGUUGGUUGAAGUUUUCGGAUGGAUACCGACAUAACUUAGUGGCGAACGGGUGAGUAACGCGUGAGUAACCUGCCCUGGAGUGGGGGACAACAGUUGGAAACGACUGCUAAUACCGCAUAAGCCCACGAUCCGG
rnacentral:rRNA from 1 species